rnacentral:ncRNA from 1 species
GUCUAAGCACACACAGCCGGUACAGUGAAACUGUGAAUGGCUCAUUAACUCAGGUAUGGUUCCUUUGGUCGCUCCAACCCUUACUUGGAUAACUGUGGUAAUUCUAGAGUUAAUACAUGGCAACAUAGGAGGGAGGGUUAGCUCAUUGGUUUGAGCAUUGGCCUGCUAAACCCAGGGUUGUGAGUUCAAUCCUUGAGGGGGACAUUUAGGGACCUGGAGCAAAAAUUGGGGCUUGGUCCCGUUUUGAGCAGUGGGUUGGACUAGAUGACCUUCUGAG